CCCUUGCCCCCUUCUCUCCUCCUCCACUCUCCAAAACUCAACUCAACCUCAAGUCCUCUCAACCAAAGAAAAAGUUAAAAACCCUAGCCUCGGCCUCCGUUCGUCUAUCCAUUGAGCCACUGCCACCGUCUGUCGCACGCAGGGCUUCUCUCUUUGUCCUGUUCUAGAGGUCUCCAACCCCUGCUCUCUUCUUCCGCGAGCUUGGCCCAUCCAUCGUCUUCAUCUGCUCGCCGUCCUGCUCGCCGUCAUGUGGUUGGCAUCGUCCAUCGCAGCAACGUACUCUUCCCAGAGCCCCAAACUUCGAAGGUCUCUAGAGGUUAUGCUAAUGUUCCAUGGGCAAAGGAAGAUAAAGUUAAGAUCGGUUGGACCAGUGAAUCAGUGAACUAGUAAUUAGAGCGGUUUGAUGAUCGGUCCGGUUUUUAGAACCUUGGAAAUUACAGAUUCAAUGAUGAGCAAGUUUGAUGACCAUUGAUCUUGGUGCUUCCUAGCAUUCUGUGAGGUUAAUUGUAUAAAUUGAUGUAUGGUUCGGUUGGAAGACCAUAUUCUAAGAACACGUUUUGCUUCAACUGUGUCCUACGAUAAAAAUCAUUACAUAUAUUUGUAUUAUGUUUAUUUGGAUUAAUUGUGUUACCAGAUAACACUAUUUUAUUGGUUAGGAGUUGUCCAAUGUAUUUGUGGAUGUGUAAGUGUAUAACUAUUUUAUUUACCAAACUAUAGGAAAGGUAAUUAUCCUUUGCUCUCUA